UGGUCCUUCUGGAAGGGAACUGGCUAAGCCAGGACUGCUUUUCUGGAGUGAUAAUGUGCUUGCCUGUGUCUAAGAGAAAGGUGAAGAAUUGGGAAACCCAUGGGUGUCACGAAGGGUGGUGAGACUGGGGAACGUUUUAGAAAACCUGGAGACAGCUUCCCAAGGCUGGAAAGAGGGGAGUGCGGAACAUGCCUCCACCAUACCACUGCCCACCUCCUGUGACCUCUGCAGCAAAACCUGAAGCCCCAAAGAGGCAGCUUCUCAAAGUAAAAGUGGAAUGAAGUUCCUGGUGACCUGAAUUCCCAUGGAGGAAAGAGGAAAAGGACAUUAUGCAAGGAGAUGGCAUCUCGUGUCCCUGGUGAACCAAAUUCCAUUAGGAAGACGGUGCAGUGUGAGGUGGACCUGGACCUGGAUAAAAUGGGUGUUUAACAAGUAUUUGUUGAGUAGGUGGUGGAGGAGGCACGACUAGAUGCAGGGUCUAGCUGAGUUGACAAGAGCUAACACCAGGUGUGGACCAGGACAGGGGGACCUUAAGCGAAGACACCCUGCCAGAUGUGUCUUGUUCCCUUGACUGUGGGGAGGCCCUUGGUGGUGGGGUGACGGUCCCCCAGUCUGAGGAUUUUCCCUGGAUGUAGCCUCUCAGUGCUAAAAUGGGACAGUCCCAGGCAAACCAGGUCAGUUGGUCACUCUACUCAGUGAGCCCCGUGCUGUGUUCAAAUUUUCCUCUUAACAGAUGUGGAUGGAUUUCGGAAACUUAGAAACCACCAUUUCUCUGUGCCUGGGAGGAGAGUUAAAUCUUCUCACCAGAAUCCUUUUAUGUGUGAGAGAAAUAAAUAUCUAUCCUUUUUAUAUCUCUUUUGUUUUGGAUUCUUUGUCACCAGCAGCCAAACCCAAUUCUUACAUAAACGUGAUACUAAUUAAAUUCAUUUGCAUAAACUCACCAGUUUUAUCCUUAAUUACUGUGAUAUACACUCAUGAAGUAUGUACCCUAAAAUACCACUGUAAGUUUUAUUUGAUUACAGCAUUAAACUUAAUUUACAGAAAUGCUUGGCUUCUUUCAAUAGCUUGUUGAUUACAUAGUAUGAUCAUCUUCUGAUAACUUAAAAGAAAAAAAAUGGAAGGACCCGUAUUCCUUCCAGCUUGUGAAUGGAGGCCCAGGGCACCAGACCCUGCUAUUGAAUUUGAAUAAAUGGGAUCUCUUUUGAACAGAAUCUGAGAGAUGGCAUUAACAUAUACCUCAUGGCCAAAGUGCAUUACAUUUAGCCUUUACUGCAGACAGUUGUUUUUGGAGACACACUAUGACCUUUGGUAUAUCUGCAUCUGUGAAACAAUAAAGCAUUCUUUAAAUGAAG
rnacentral:lncRNA from 10 species